rnacentral:rRNA from 1 species
GAUGAACGCUAGCGAUAGGCCUAACACAUGCAAGUCGAGGGGCAGCACAUGAAGUAGCAAUACAGAUGGUGGCGACCGGCGCACGGGUGAGUAACACGUAUGCAACCUACCUUCAACAGGAGAAUAACCCGGCGAAAGUCGGACUAAUACUCCAUAAUACAGGGAUCCCGCAUGGGAAUAUUUGUUAAAGAUUUAUCGGUUGAAGAUGGGCAUGCGUUCCAUUAGCUAGUUGGUGAGGUAACGGCUCACCAAGGCAACGAUGGAUAGGGGAACUGAGAGGUUUAUCCCCCACACUGGUACUGAGACACGGACCAGACUCCUACGGGAGGCAGCAGUGAGGAAUAUUGGUCAAUGGAGGCAACUCUGAACCAGCCACGUCGCGUGAAGGAUGACGGCCCUACGGGUUGUAAACUUCUUUUGUAAGGGAAUAAAGUUUAGUACGUGUACUAUUUUGCAUGUACCUUACGAAUAAGGAUCGGCUAACUCCGUGCCAGCCGCCGCAGUAAAAC